rnacentral:rRNA from 1 species
ACUCAAAGGAAUUGACGGGGGCCCGCACAAGCGGUGGAGCAUGUGGUUUAAUUCGACGCAACGCGAAGAACCUUACCAGGGCUUGACAUCCACAGAACUCGUUGGAAACAAAGAGGUGCCCUUCGGGGAGCUGUGAGACAGGUGGUGCAUGGUUGUCGUCAGCUCGUGUCGUGAGAUGUUGGGUUAAGUCCCGCAACGAGCGCAACCCCUAUCUUUAGUUGCUAACAGGUAGAGCUGAGCACUCUAGAGAGACUGCCGGUGACAAACCGGAGGAAGGUGGGGAUGACGUCAAAUCAUCAUGCCCCUUAUGUCCUGGGCUACACACGUGCUACAAUGGCCGGUACAGACGGUUGCGAAGCUGUGAAGUGGAGCUAAUCCGAGAAAGCCGGUCUCAGUUCGGAUUGUAGGCUGCAACUCGCCUACAUGAAGUCGGAAUCGCUAGUAAUCGCAGGUCAGCAUACUGCGGUGAAUACGUUCCCGGGCCUUGUACACACCGCCCGU